UGUGAAAUUGUUGAAAGGGAAGCGCUUGCGGUCAGACUCGCUCCGGGGGGCUCCGUCGGCACUCGUUGCCGGCGUACUCCCUCCCGGGGCGGGCCAGCAUCAGCUCUGGCGGCCGGUGAAAGGUUCCCGGAAGGUAGCACCCUCCGGGGUGUCUUAUAGCCGGGGACGGAAUACGGCCAGCCGGGGCUGAGGAACGCGCUUCGGCUCGGAUGCUGGCGUAAUGGCCGUAAGCGACCCGUCUUGAAACACGGACCAAGGAGUA
rnacentral:rRNA from 1 species